AAUGAAUGUUGGCGGCGUGGAUUAGGCAUGCAAGUCGCACGCUUUAUGUAGCAAUACAUGAGGAGUGGCGUAAGGGAGAGUAAUGCAUGGUUAGCUACCCUUGGGACUGGGAUAGCGGCGGGAAACUGCCGGUAAUACCAGAUGACAUCUUCGGAUCAAACGUGUGAAACGGCCCAAGGAGGUGACCAUGUCCUAUCAGCUAGUUGGCGGUGUAACGGACCACCAAGGCUAAGACGGGUAUGGGGCGUGAGAGCGUGCCCCCACUCACUGGGACUGAGACACUGCCCAGACACCUACGGGUGGCUGCAGUCGAGAAUCUUCGGCAAUGGGCGCAAGCCUGACCGAGCGACGCCGCGUGCGGGAUGAAGGCCUUCGGGUUGUAAACCGCUGUCGUAGGGGAGGAAGAUCCUGUGAAGAACAGGGUUUGACCGAUCCUAGGAGGAAGGGCCGGCUAAUCUCGUGCCAGCAGCCGCGGUAAAAC
rnacentral:rRNA from 1 species